GACGAACGCUGGCGGCGUGCUUAACACAUGCAAGUCGAACGGUAAGGCCCUUCGGGGUACACGAGUGGCGAACGGGUGAGUAACACGUGGGUGAUCUGCCCUGCACUUCGGGACAAGCCUGGGAAACUGGGUCUAAUACCGGAUAGGACCACUGCCUGCAUGGGUGGUGGUGGAAAGCUUUUGCGGUGUGGGAUGGGCCCGCGGCCUAGCAGCUUGUUGGUGGGGUGAUGGCCUACCAAGGCGACGACGGGUAGCCGGCCUGAGAGGGUGACCGGCCACACUGGGACUGAGAUACGGCCCAGACUCCUACGGGAGGCAGCAGUGGGGAAUAUUGCACAAUGGGCGCAAGCCUGAUGCAACGACGCCGCGUGAGGGAUGACGGCCUUCGGGUUGUAAACCUCUUUCAGCACCGACGAAGCGCAAGUGACGGUAGGUGCAGAAGAAGGACCGGCCAACUACGUGCCAGCAGCCGCGGUAA
rnacentral:rRNA from 1 species